rnacentral:rRNA from 1 species
GACAGAGGGUGCAAACGUUGUUCGGAAUUACUGGGCGUAAAGCGCGUGUAGGCGGCUAAGUAAGUCGGGCGUGAAAUCCCACGGCUCAACCGUGGAAGUGCACUCGAAACUGCAUAGCUAGAGUCCUGGAGAGGGAAGGUGGAAUGCUUGGUGUAGAGGUGAAAUUCGUAGAUAUCAAGCGGAACACCGGUGGCGAAGGCGGCCUUCUGGACAGUGACUGACGCUGAG